UACGUAGGUGGCAAGCGUUGUCCGGAUUUACUGGGCGUAAAGGGCGUGCAGGCGGUCUGUUAAGUGCAGGGUGAAAGCUCCCGGCUCAACUGGGAGAGGUCCUUGCAUACUGGCGGACUUGAGGGGGGUAGAGGAAAGUGGAAUUCCCGGUGUAGUGGUGAUAUGCGUAGAUAUCGGGAGGAACACCUGUGGCGAAGGCGGCUUUCUGGGCCCUACCUGACGCUGAGGAGCGAAAGCGUGGGGAGCGAACAGG
rnacentral:rRNA from 1 species